GGCGGACGGGUGAGUAACGCGUGGGAACGUGCCCUUUGCUACGGAAUAGCCUCGGGAAACUGGGAGUAAUACCGUAUGUGCCCUUCGGGGGAAAGAUUUAUCGGCAAAGGAUCGGCCCGCGUUGGAUUAGGUAGUUGGUGAGGUAACGGCUCACCAAGCCGACGAUCCAUAGCUGGUUUGAGAGGAUGAUCAGCCACACUGGGACUGAGACACGGCCCAGACUCC
rnacentral:rRNA from 1 species